GACGAACGCUGGCGGCGUGCUUAACACAUGCAAGUCGAACGGUGAAGGGACCAGCUUGCUGGUUCUGGAUGAGUGGCGAACGGGUGAGUAACACGUGAGUAACCUGCCCCCUUCUUCUGGAUAACCGCAUGAAAGUGUGGCUAAUACGGGAUAUUCUGGGUCUGUCGCAUGGCGGGCCCGGGAAAGAUAUUGCUUCGGUGGGGGAUGGGCUCGCGGCCUAUCAGCUUGUUGGUGGGGUGAUGGCCUACCAAGGCGGUGACGGGUAGCCGGCCUGAGAGGGUGGACGGUCACACUGGGACUGAGACACGGCCCAGACUCCUACGGGAGGCAGCAGUGGGGAAUACUGCACAAUGGGCGCAAGCCUGAUGCAGCGACGCCGCGUGAGGGAUGGAGGCCUUCGGGUUGUAAACCUCUUUCGCCAGUGAAGCAGGCCUGCUCCUUGUGGGUGGGUUGACGGUAGCUGGAUAAGAAGCGCCGGCUAACUACGUG
rnacentral:rRNA from 1 species